UACGGAGGGUGCGAGCGUUGUCCGGAAUCACUGGGCGUAAAGGGCGCGUAGGCGGCAGGCCAAGCGUGCGGUGAAAGUCCGGGGCUCAACCCCGGAUCUGCCGUGCGGACUGGUUUGCUAGAGCACUGUAGAGGCGAGUGGAAUUCCUGGUGUAGCGGUGAAAUGCGUAGAUAUCAGGAGGAACACCUGUGGCGAAAGCGGCGCACUGGACCACAACUGACGCUGAGGCGCGAAAGCUAGGGGAGCAAACAGG
rnacentral:rRNA from 1 species